GAUGAAGAACGUAGCGAAAUGCGAUAAGUAAUGUGAAUUGCAGAAUUCAGUGAAUCAUCGAAUCUUUGAACGCACAUUGCGCCCUCUGGUAUUCCGGGGGGCAAGCCUGUUCGAGCGUCAUUACAACCCUCAAGCUUUGCUUGGUAUUGGACAUUGCCAGUUUCUGGCAGGUCUUAAAAUCAGUGGCGGUGCCAUUUGGCUUCAAGCGUAGUAAUUCUUCUCGCUUUGGAGAUCCAAGUGGUUACUUGCCAAUAACCCCCAAUUUUUUCAGGUUGACCUCGGAUCAGGUAGGGAUACCCGCUGAACUUAAGCAUAUCAAUAAGCGGAGGA
rnacentral:misc_RNA from 1 species